UUUUCUUUUAUAUAAAAACCAUUCAAAAAAAAAAAAGGAAAAUAAAAACGGUGAAGAACAUUUGAAGGCUUGGGAGUGUGUUUUUUUGUGACAUCAGAUGACUUCGUUUAGAAAAUGGUAAACUUUCGUUCAAAUUAAAGGUGGAAAAGAACCCUGUUGGAUUCACUUGAUUGAUGGAAGUGGUGAUUUUUGUACGCAUAGCCUCAAGAUAAAAAUUACCUACAUGUGUGCUGUUUGAAGAUUUGUAAUUUUGACACGGGAUAACCACGAAUAAAAUUGUGUUCUCAAGUUUUAUCAUCAGAUAUACGCCACAUCUCAUCAACAGCGAACAGUAGAUAUCAACAGCGACCACCACAGAGGCCGUCAGCACUACAGAAGGGAGUACGACGUCAUUUGGAAGAGACAAAGCAUGGUAGUCAGCAAAUGAAGUGAAUAACAGCGCGUUUAACAACAGAACAAAUCUAGUCGAUAUACCCAAUCUAGCGAUUUUUAAUCUCCCGUGACAACUGAAUUGAUAACAAAUCAAGGUAUUAUUAUUCAUUUUGUCAAAACGAUUGCGACAUCCGGAGGGAAGGUUCUCUAUAAUAUAAAUCGACUCUGAAUCAAAUUGACACUUCCCGUAUGUGUGACAUUUCAGAAAGCUGUAACGUCUUGCAUAGCAUGGCCGAGAAAUUUUCCCUUGACACUCAUAUGCAUGUAUUUCUGAUUUGUGAGAACAUAUUUUCCUGCUCGCUUUUCAAAUCCAAAAGAGAAAUUCGGUGUCCUUCGGCCUGAAUUUCCGGGAUACCCUCUCUUGUGAGUCUGCGAGCUGCUGAUGCGCGACUAAAAAUUUCGACUUUGGGAUCUUUCAUCCCUAUCUUCUUGUGACAGCCCAAAGCGAUAUUCACUCUUAAAUUUUAAAGUGCGAAUGAAUCGACAGAUCGAC